UACGUAGGGUGCAAGCGUUGUCCGGAAUUAUUGGGCGUAAAGAGCUCGUAGGCGGUUUGUCGCGUCUGCUGUGAAAUCCCGAGGCUCAACCUCGGGUCUGCAGUCGAUACGGGCAAACUUGAGUGUUGCAGGGGAGACUGGAAUUCCUGGUGUAGCGGUGAAAUGCGCAGAUAUCAGGAGGAACACCGGUGGCGAAGGCGGGUCUCUGGGCAACAACUGACGCUGAGGAGCGAAAGCGUGGGGAGCGAACAGG
rnacentral:rRNA from 1 species